rnacentral:rRNA from 1 species
UGCAAGUCGAGCGCGGGAAGCGAGUGGAUCCCUUCGGGGUGAAGCUCGUGGAACGAGCGGCGGACGGGUGAGUAACACGUGGGCAACCUGCCUGUAAGAUCGGAAUAACCCCGGGAAACCGGGGCUAAUGCCGGGUAAUACUUUCUUUCGCAUGAAGGAAAGUUGAAAGAUGGCUUCUCGCUAUCACUUACAGAUGGGCCCGCGGCGCAUUAGCUAGUUGGUGAGGUAACGGCUCACCAAGGCGACGAUGCGUAGCCGACCUGAGAGGGUGAUCGGCCACACUGGGACUGAGACACGGCCCAGACUCCUACGGGAGGCAGCAGUAGGGAAUCUUCCGCAAUGGACGAAAGUCUGACGGAGCAACGCCGCGUGAACGAUGAAGGUCUUCGGAUCGUAAAGUUCUGUUGUUAGGGAAGAACAAGUACCGUGCGAAUAGAGCGGUACCUUGACGGUACCUAACGAGGAAGCCCCGGCUAACUACGUGCCAGCAGCCGCGGUAAUACGUAGGGGGCAAGCGUUGUCCGGAAUUAUUGGGCGUAAAGCGCGCGCAGGCGG